UUAUUAAAAGACUUCUAUUUAUUAGUGUAUGUGUUGGUGUAAGAUUGACAACGUUUGGAUCACAACGGGUCGAAUGUUUAAUAUGUAUGUUAGAUGUGGAUGUGCAGCUGUAACCUAAAUUGUUAAGGUCAGUACUUCUUGAUGUUUUAAUGAGAGGAGUAGUGGUCGUAUAAGGGAUGACCAAUCGGAAAGUUUAAAAGUUGUAGCUAAAAUAUUAAAUUAGCAGUCAUAUAAUAAAAACAGUAAUAAAUGUGAAUUGAUAGACAACAAUGUAGGUACAUGAAACUGAGAUACAAAGUAAAGGGUGGAGAAUUAGAGUAGAAAGAAAAGAUAGGAAUUAAAAUUCAGUUGAAAGUAAUUGAUUGUAAAUUGAGACUAUGUUUUAAUGAUAUAAGCAGUGAAGAAAUAUUAAUAAACUAUUGAA
rnacentral:lncRNA from 1 species